CCUACGGGAGGCAGCAGUGAGGAAUAUUGGUCAAUGGCCGAGAGGCUGAACCAGCCAAGUCGCGUGAGGGAAGACGGCCCUACGGGUUGUAAACCUCUUUUGUCGGGGAGCAAAGCGAGUCACGUGUGACUCAUUGAGAGUACCCGAAGAAAAAGCAUCGGCUAACUCCGUGCCAGCAGCCGCGGUAAUACGGAGGAUGCGAGCGUUAUCCGGAUUUAUUGGGUUUAAAGGGUGCGCAGGCGGAGGUGCAAGUCCGCGGUCAAAUUGCGGGGCUCAACCCCGUACUGCCGUUGAAACUGCAGCCCUUGAGUGCGCGAGAAGUAUGCGGAAUGCGUGGUGUAGCGGUGAAAUGCAUAGAUAUCACGCAGAACUCCGAUUGCGAAGGCAGCAUACCGGCGCGCAACUGACGCUCAUGCACGAAAGCGUGGGUAUCGAACAGGAUUAGAUACCCGAGUAGUC
rnacentral:rRNA from 1 species